AUGGACGAAAGUCUGAUGGAGCACGCCGCGUGAGUGAAGAAGGGUUUCGGCUCGUAAAACUCUGUUGUUAAAGAAGAACAUAUCUGAGAGUAACUGUUCAGGUAUUGACGGUAUUUAACCAGAAAGCCACGGCUAACUACGUGCCAGCAGCCGCGGUAAUACGUAGGUGGCAAGCGUUGUCCGGAUUUAUUGGGCGUAAAGCGAGCGCAGGCGGUUUUUUAAGUCUGAUGUGAAAGCCUUCGGCUCAACCGAAGAAGUGCAUCGGAAACUGGGGAACUUGAGUGCAGAAGAGGACAGUGGAACUCCAUGUGUAGCGGUGAAAUGCGUAGAUAUAUGGAAGAACACCAGUGGCGAAGGCGGCUGUCUGGUCUGUAACUGACGCUGAGGCUCGAAAGUAUGGGUAGCAAACAGGAUUAGAUACCCUGGUAAGUCCAUACCGUAAACGAUGAAUGCUAAGUGUUGGAGGGUUUCCGCCCCUUCAGUGCUGCACGCUAACGCCAUUAAGCAUUCCGCCUGGGGAGUACGGCCGCAAGGCUGAAAACUCAAAGGAAUUGACGGG
rnacentral:rRNA from 2 species